UCUAUGCAUAACAAAUUCCAAUAUAUCAAGAGAAAUAAAGGGUUUUCCACUUUUAAAAUGAACUUUGACAUGGAUAUGUUAAUUCCUACUUUAUCAACUACUUUCAAAUGUUCUUGUUAAAAAGUGAUAUAGUUGAAAACGCUAUACUGCAGUAAGUGCUAAUCUAUUUUAUUUUUCCUUUUUAUUAUCAUUAUUAUUAUUAUAUUUUUUCAAGUCUUGCAAAGUAAUUUUGUUUGCUUCAUUUUGCAGGUCCUCAAUGGUUAUAUUGCACUUGGGAAUGCUCAAUUUCCUAAUGGAACCAAUGGUAUUUUAUUUUAUUUUUUAAAUUAUGUAUUUCAUUUUAAGUGAAAUGUAUUGACUAUAUUCUUGUAAGAUUGUGUGAUAGGAAGGUACAUGUUCAUUUUCCUACAGGUAAUGCCCUAGACAUUCUUGCUUGAGUUCCACUAUAGAAAAAUGGUCUUGAUUAUCGGCACGGUACAGGCCACGGAAUUGGGUCUUACCUUAAUGUUCAUGAAAGCAAGUAUCAAAUUGGUCUCCGUUAUAGUGGAGGUGCCCCGUAUGCUUUUAAUGCUGUCACUAAAGUUUGGCAUUAUACCAAUUGUGGUGCCAGUUGGUGUUCGAGAUUUUGACAUUGAUGGGGAACUUUGGGUCAAAUUAGGAUUGAUACCAACAGAGCCUUUUGUAGGAGUUGUAAUAUUCUCUAGAUUUUAUUCAUAAAACACUUGUACAUUUUUCUCUUGCUAAUUCAGGUUUAGUUUUUAGUUUUUCUACAUGAUUCUUAUGUCAAGAUGAAGUGUAAGGACCCAAUUUCAUUAUUAAAUUCUCCA